rnacentral:rRNA from 1 species
CCUACGGGGUGCAGCAGUGGGGAAUAUUGGGCAAUGGAGGAAACUCUGACCCAGCAAUGCCGCGUGAAUGAAGAAGGUCUUCGGAUUGUAAAGUUCUUUAGGCAGGGAAGAAGAAAAUGACGGGAGCUGAAGAAUAAGCUCCGGCUAACUACGUGCCAGCAGCCGCGGUAAGACGUAGGGAGCAAGCGUUGUUCGGAAUGACUUGGCGUAAAGGGUGCGUAGGCGGUUAUACAAGUUAGAAGUGAAAUACCCAGGGCUUAACUCGGGUGCUGCUUCUAAAACGGUAAGACUUGAGUGCAGUAGAGGUUAGUGGACUUCCUAGUGUAGCGGUUUAAUGCGUCGAUAUUAGGAGGAACACCAGCUGCGAAGGCGGCUCACUGGACUGCAACUGACGCUGAGGCACGAAAGUGUGGGGAGCAAACAGGAUUAGAUACCCUUGUAGUC